rnacentral:rRNA from 1 species
CCUGAGAAACCCAAAAGAUCGAAUGGGGAGAUUCAUCGUCAGCGAUACUGGCACGUGUGAGGUUCGUGAUGCCGGAGACCUCGGUCUCAUGGCACGCGUCCGCGCAUGAUUUUUUUGCCGGGUCUGUCGUCGGCGUGCACUUCUCCCCUAGUAGGACGUCGCGACCCGUUGGGUGUCGGUCUGCGGCCCGGGUGGGCGCCUGUCAUGUGUUUAGCUUUACGGCGUCAUGUGGCAGACCCUCGGUUGUCUGGCCAGCUGCCCGGCGGUACUCGCACGGUAUCGAGUCGCAAAUAUUUGAACUGCGUCCGGCCCGCCGCAAGCGAGGCCAGUGUUUCCCGGAUGUACGGACUUUGCGCCGUCACCGGGCCUGGCCAGCUGCUGGUUGGCGGUGUCCUGGGACUGACUCAUUAAUUAUGAUACCGGUCGGCGACGCUACUGCUUUGGGUACUUUCAGGA